UACGUAGGGUGCAAGCGUUGUCCGGAAUUAUUGGGCGUAAAGAGCUCGUAGGCGGUCUGUCGCGUCGGCUGUGAAAACUCGGGGCUCAACCCCGAGCCUGCAGUCGAUACGGGCAGACUAGAGUUCGGUAGGGGAGACUGGAAUUCCUGGUGUAGCGGUGAAAUGCGCAGAUAUCAGGAGGAACACCGGUGGCGAAGGCGGGUCUCUGGGCAAUAACUGACGCUGAGACACGAAAGCGUGGGUAGCAAACAGG
rnacentral:rRNA from 1 species